rnacentral:rRNA from 1 species
UACGUAGGGUGCGAGCGUUGUCCGGAAUUAUUGGGCGUGAAGAGCUUGUAGGCGGUUUGUCGCGUCUGCUGUGAAAAUCCGGGGCUCAACCCCGGACUUGCAGUGGGUACGGGCAGGCUAGAGUGUGGUAGGGGAGACUGGAAUUCCUGGUGUAGCGGUGAAAUGCGCAGAUAUCAGGAGGAACACCGAUGGCGAAGGCAGGUCUCUGGGCCACUACUGACGCUGAGAAGCGAAAGCAUGGGGAGCGAACAGG